rnacentral:rRNA from 1 species
GCCAGUGGUGAACUCCACAUACGCAUCCUUUGCUGAGGAUACGGUUAACGGAGCGAAAGCGACGUUCAACCGCAAAAGAAGCAGAGGGGGCUUAGUGGUGGGGUGACUGCGUACCUUUUGUAUAAUGGGUCAGCGACUUAUAUUCUGUAGCAAGGUUAACCGCAUAGGGGAGCCGGAGGGAAACCGAGUCUUAAUUGGGCGUUAAGUUGCAGGGUAUAGACCCGAAACCCGGUGAUCUAGCCAUGGGCAGGUUGAAGGUUGGGUAACACUAACUGGAGGACCGAACCGACUAAUGUUGAAAAAUUAGCGGAUGACCUGUGGCUGGGGGUGAAAGGCCAAUCAAACCGGGAGAUAGCUGGUUCUCCCCGAAAGCUAUUUAGGUAGCGCCUCGUGAACUCAUCUCCGGGGGUAGAGCACUGUUUCGGCUAGGGGGCCAUCCCGGCUUACCAACCCGAUGCAAACUGCGAAUACCGGAGAAUGUUAUCACGGGAGACACACGGCGGGUGCUAACGUCCGUCGUGAAGAGGGAAACAACCCAGACCGCCAGCUAAGGUCCCAAAGUCAUGGUUAAGUGGGAAACGAUGUGGGAAGGCCCAGACAGCCAGGAUGUUGGCUUAGAAGCAGCCAUCAUUUAAAGAAAGCGUAAUAGCUCACUGGUCGAGUCGGCCUGCGCGGAAGAUGUAACGGGGCUAAACCAUGCACCGAAGCUGCGGCAGCGACGCUGAUGCGUUGUUGGGUAGGGGAGCGUUCUGUAAGCCUG